AACGAACGCUGGCGGCAUGCCUAACACAUGCAAGUCGAACGAGAUCCUUCGGGGUCUAGUGGCGCACGGGUGCGUAACGCGUGGGAAUCUGCCCUUAGGUUCGGAAUAACAGUUAGAAAUGGCUGCUAAUACCGGAUGAUGACGUUAAGUCCAAAGAUUUAUCGCCUGAGGAUGAGCCCGCGUAGGAUUAGCUAGUUGGUGUGGUAAAGGCGCACCAAGGCGACGAUCCUUAGCUGGUCUGAGAGGAUGAUCAGCCACACUGGGACUGAGACACGGCCCAGACUCCUACGGGAGGCAGCAGUGGGGAAUAUUGGACAAUGGGCGCAAGCCUGAUCCAGCAAUGCCGCGUGAGUGAUGAAGGCCUUAGGGUUGUAAAGCUCUUUUACCCGGGAUGAUAAUGACAGUACCGGGAGAAUAAGCCCCGGCUAACUCCGUG
rnacentral:rRNA from 1 species